rnacentral:misc_RNA from 1 species
UGUAACCGUACGUGUAGUCGUUCGUGUCUACAACGGAUCGCAGGAUCUCGAGGAGCAGCAUAGAUAGAGGAGAGAAGAGCUCGAGGAUACGUUUGCGGGGAGAACGGGAUAUAAAGGAACGAUUCGGAAGCAAUUCGACAUAUCUUACCAACUACGGUACCAACUACGGUAGGAUUUGAAUUUGUCGAGAGAAAAUGAAUACACGGUGCCACGAUCCAUUCUGAAAUCUACGGUUACGUUUAGUAUCGGUAUCGAGAUUGUGCAC